CCCCAUUAUUCCCCAUUCUCCAUUAUUCCCCAUUCCCCAUUCCCAUUCCCCAUUAUUCCCCAUUAUUCCCCAUUCCUGGCUCCACCUGUGGUUCCUGGGGAAGCUCUGGAGCCACCCAGGGGCACAAGGGACAGAGCCCAGCGCCCCCCAGCAGGACAGGGACCCGCUCCCUCCCUGGGGACAUCCCGCGAUUCAGGGCCAUUUCUGAGGCCAUCGGGGUCCCUGAGGGGCAGCUGAUCCCGGGGCUGGGGCCGGGAGGAGCCCUCGGUGCCCGAGCUCAGAGCUCCGGGAGGCUCCAGGUGAAGGUGCCACGGUCUGGGCAGCGGGGACAAGCCUGGGAGCAGCACGGGGACAGCACGGGGACAGCACGGAGUGUCAGGGGGACAGCAGGGAGUGUCACCAGAGUGUCACAGCCCCUGCCCAGGGACAGCACAGAGUGUCACCAGUGUCACAGCCCCUGCCCGGGACAGCAGGGAGUGUCACAGCCCCUGCCCAGGGACAGCAGGCAGUGUCACCAGUGUCACAGCCCCUGCCCGGGACAGCACAGAGUGUCACUGGAGUGUCACAGCCCCUGCCCAAGGGACAGCAGGCAGUGUCACCAGUGUCCCAGCCCCUGCCCAGGGACA
rnacentral:lncRNA from 1 species